AUCUUGACCUCAGAUCAGGCAAGGCUACCCGCUGAAUUUAAGCAUAUUAAUAAGCGGAGGAAAAGAAACUAACAAGGAUUCCCCCAGUAACGGCGAGUGAAGCGGGAAUAGCUCAAAUUUGAAAUCUCCGACGCUUGCGUCGGCGAGUUGUAGUUGCGAGAAGCACUUUCUAGGCGGAUCGGUCGUGCUUAAGUUGCUUGGAACAGUACGUCACAGAGGGUG
rnacentral:rRNA from 1 species